AUACGUAGGGGGCGAGCGUUGUCCGGAAUGACUGGGCGUAAAGGGCGCGUAGGCGGCCCGGUAAGUCUGGAGUGAAAGUCCUGUUUUUAAGAUGGGAAUUGCUUUGGAUACUGUCGGGCUUGAGUGCAGGAGAGGUAAGUGGUAUUCCCAGUGUAGCGGUGAAAUGCGUAGAGAUUGGGAGGAACACCAGUGGCGAAGGCGACUUACUGGACUGUAACUGACGCUGAGGCGCGAAAGUGUGGGGAGCAAACAGGAUUAGAUACCCUGGUAGUCCACACUGUAAACGAUGAAUGCUAGGUGUAGGGGGUAUCGACCCCUUCUGUGCCGCAGUCAACACAAUAAGCAUUCCGCCUGGGGAGUACGGCCGCAAGGUUGAAACUCAAAGGAAUUGACGGGG
rnacentral:rRNA from 1 species